rnacentral:rRNA from 1 species
CUCGUAGGCGGUUCAGCAAGUCGGCUGUGAAAGUCCGGGGCUCAACCCCGGAAUUGCAGUCGAUACUGCUGUGACUCGAGUCCGGUAGAGGAGAACGGAAUUCCCGGUGUAGCGGUGAAAUGCGCAGAUAUCGGGAGGAACACCAGUAGCGAAGGCGGUUCUCUGGGCCGGCACUGACGCUGAGGAGCGAAAGCGUGGGGAGCAAACA